rnacentral:rRNA from 1 species
GAUGAACGCUGGCGGCGUGCCUAAUACAUGCAAGUCGAGCGAACAGACGAGGAGCUUGCUCCUCUGACGUUAGCGGCGGACGGGUGAGUAACACGUGGAUAACCUCCCUAUAAGACUGGGAUAACUUCGGGAAACCGGAGCUAAUACCGGAUAAUAUAUUGAACCGCAUGGUUCAAUAGUGAAAUACGGCUUUGCUGUCACUUAUAGAUGGAUCCGCGCCGCAUUAGCUAGUUGGUAAGGUAACGGCUUACCAAGGCGACGAUGCGUAGCCGACCUGAGAGGGUGGUCGGCCACACUGGAGCUGAGACACGGUCCAGACUCCUACGGGAGGCAGCAGUAGGGAAUCUUCCGCAAUGGGCGAAAGCCUGACGGAGCGACGCCGCGUGAGUGAUGAAGGUCUUCGGAUCGUAAAACUCUGUUAUUAGGGAAGAACAAAUGUGUAAGUAACUAUGCACGUCUUGACGGUACCUAAUCAGAAAGCCACGGCUAACUACGUG